UGUCCUCUGAAAAUGUUUCUUAAAACUUCACUUGUUUCUUCAAAAUCAUCUUUCAAUGUUAGAUUUUCAUCUUCAUCUAUUCUUUCUUCAGUUUCCCAAAAUCAACACACAAAAUCACCACCCAAACACAUCUCCACUCUUAAGCACCAUUCUCAACUUUAUAAUUUCCUUCAUGUAAACUGCAGGUCAGGUAACUUUUCUCUUGAUGAAGCUUUUGAUUCCUUCAAUUAUAUGAUUCAUAUGCACCCAACUCCUGCUAUGUCUUCCUUCAGUAUUUUGUUUUCUGCACUUGUUAAGAAAAAACAUUUUGAUCAACUUCUUGUGAUGUACACGAGAUUCAUUUCAGCUGGGUUGUUGCCGGAUUUCAUUAUUUUGAAUAUUUUAAUUGAUUGCUUAAGCAAAAUGGCACGCGAUUCUGAUGGUUUUGUUGUUCUUGGGAGUAUUUUUAGGAGGGGUUUUUACCCAAACGCUUUGACUUUUAACAAUCUGAUUAAUGGUCUUUGUAUGGCGGGCAAGAUUAAGAAGGCCAUUGCAUUUUUUAGGAAAAUGGUUUCGGUUGGUUGUAGACCGGAUGUGGUUACAGUUGGGACUUUGAUUACUGGGUUGUGUAGAACUGGUAAUGUCACUGUUGCCCUUCAGUUGUUUGAAGAAAUGAAUAACGGGAAUGGUGAAUUUGGUGUCAUUUGUAAGCCUAAUAUUGUUUGCUAUACUACAAUUAUUGAUGGUCUUUGCAAAUAUGGGUUAGUAGACAAGGCAAAGAAACUGUUUUCAGGAAUGAAGACCAAGGGCAUUAAUCCAAACGUGAUUACUUACACCACUCUAAUUUAUGGUUUGUGUAAUACAUCUAAUUGGGAGGAGGCUAAAACUUUGUUUAUAGAGAUGUUGGAGGAAGGUGUAAAACCUAAUGUGGUGACAUUUAACGUGGUAAUUGAUAAGUUUUGUAUCAAUGGAAAGAUGGACGAAGCCAAUGGGUUGUUCCAACUAAUGAUUAAUAGAGGUGUUUGUCCCGACACAAUAACUUAUAACAUACUUUUGAGUGGUUUUUGCUUGGCAGGUCAGAUUGAUGAUGCUAGAAGGCUAUUUGAUUCCAUGGCAAGUAUGGGUUGUAAGCCUGAUGUUUUUAGCUACAAUAUUUUGAUGGAUGGUUUAUGCUUGACAAAUAAAAUUGAUGAUGCCAAGGAACUUUUAGCCUCAAUGUUGAGUAUGGGAUGCACACCUGAUGUAGCUAGCUACAAUACUCUGAUCAAUUGGUAUUGCAAGAAUCGAAAAAUUGAUGAAGCCUUGAAUCUUUAUGAGGAAAUGACUUCCGAGGGAGUUAGGCCAGAUGUUUUUGCUUAUAAUACCUUGCUAUCUGGGCUUUUUAUGAACGGUAAUGUCAGACAUGCAAAAAAGCUAUUUGUUAAGAUGCAACUUAGUAAUUUGCCUCCCGACUUAUUUACGUAUAGUAUUCUUAUUGAUGGUUAUUGCAAAAAUGGUUGUGUUUUGGAGGCUGUUCAACUGUUCUAUACUUUAAUAAAUCGAAACAUUCAACCUAACAUCACAACUUUCAAUUGUCUCAUUAAUGGGUUGUGCAAAACAGGGAGACUCAAUAUUGCUUGGGAAAUGUUCAACAGAUUACAUAGUAAUGGCUUUGUUCCAGAUGUUAUUACAUAUAACAUUAUAAUGCAUGGAUUUUGUAAGGAAGGAAAGUUAGAAAUGGCAAGUAAAUGUUUCUCAGAUAUGGAGCAAAAUGGUGUUGCGCCAGAUUUGGUCACUUUCAAUACGCUUAUGUCUGGUUUCUUGCAGAAUAAUGAGACUUUAAAAGUGGUGGAACUUCUUCACAAAAUGAAAGAGAGAAAUGUGAAAGCAGAUGCAUCCAUAGGUUCAAUAAUAUUAGAUUUACUGGGAAAGCAUGAAGAUUAUCGUAAAGUCCUGAAUUUGCUACCAUCCUUUUCAACCCAAGAACCAACAGGAUGUUGAUUGUUGAGUAAAAUGCAUUUUCCAGGGGAGUAUAGCUUAUCAAGAGAGCCCUGGCAAACGUUAAAGUUUCCAUGUAAAGGAAAAUACUGACGAAGAUGCUCGUAAGGUUGUAGAUGGUUUAGCACCUAAGGCCACUGAUCAGAAUGAUGCUAUUGAGAAAUGGUAUGAACAUGAAUGUCUCAUCUGUGUACUCUUAGUGCUACUUGUAAUACACGUACAUAACUAUAGUCUCUACAUUUGUUCGUUUUUACCAAUCAAUGUUAGUAGGAAUCUUUAUUUCUUUGGAAAGAUGAAUCCCCUUGUUGAAGUCUCUAGUAAGAAGUUGGUGGUAGCUGAUGCUAAGUUGAACUUCGAUGGUGGUGCUGCCUUCCUGGUAGAAGGGAAUCUCUCUUGUGGUCCAUCACUAGAGGGUCCUUGAGAGGUUUCGGUACAUUUUACUUCUCGAUUUAUUGUUUACGUGGAAUAAUUAUUCUUAAUAGUAACUGCCAAACAAGUACACGAAGAUUCAAGUCUGGUUAGUGAUUAAGAGAGUUGUGGUGCUUUUUGGAUAUUCUAUAUGGCAGCCAAAUUCUUCUGAUUAAUUUGGCGAUUUUCUUCUGCAUCCUUUGAUUUCUUUGCUCUUUUUGGUACCUAAGUUCAGUUAUCUCAAAAAUGGGCUUUUAAAGUUUGCUAGCAGAAUGGAGUUUCAAAUUGCGAGUGGAAGACUACUGCUAUCACACAACACAAAUUAGCCUUCUGCUUUAAUUCAUGCGCUGAAAAUAGGGCUUGUCUUUGAGGCUUGUGUCAAAAUUAGAGUCUCUCUUCUCAGCAUCAUCAACAAUUAGAUUAUAAAUGUACAUGAGGAACUAUUAAUUAUGGUGUCAACAACACUAGUGUGCAACAAAUUAUAAAGUAGUUUCUCACUUUGCAUGA